rnacentral:tRNA from 3 species
GGGCGCUUAGCUCAGUUGGCUAGAGCACCUGCCUUACAAGCAGGGGGUCACAGGUUCAAGUCCUGUAGCGCCCA